GUUCUUGAUUGGGUGGUGAUUUUGGGGGAUAUUUGAUUUGAAGGGAGUUUUUAGUUAGUGGAUUUGAUAUAAAGAUUAAAUUUUUUCUUUUGUUAGAUUUUGGAAUUUUUUUGCUGAUUUGGGGAGUGCUGGAAAAUGAGUGUGAGUAUGGAGGAGGAUGGUUCAGGUUCAAAAAUACAUCUACCUGCUGAUGUAAAUUGGGAGAUGCUUGACAAAUCUAAGUUUUUUUUCUUGGGAGCUGCGCUUUUUCUGGUGUUUCAGGUGCACUUUAUCCAAUUGUAGUGUUGA
rnacentral:misc_RNA from 1 species